AUAAUAAUAAUUUUAAAAAAUAUUUUUCUCUUUUUUUUCUUUCCUCCCCUUUCCUCUCCCCUACAUCGACUCCCCUCUUUCCCCUCCUGCUUGCGCACCGAACAGGCCACCGCCGCCGCCAGCAGCGCCUCCUUCCCCCCACGCUACUGUGUUGCCCUUCCCCUUCUCCUUCCCUUCCACAGCGACUUCAACCGAAGGAAGAAGGAGUUGUCGUCGCUGUUUUGGCCGCCUACCGAUGUCCAAUCGAAACUCUUGUGUUUUCGGACUCCUUGCAAUGCGAGCUUCCCGUAGACGCUUACGAAUUUGAAUUCCGAAACUGUUGGUGACAGUUAGAGUUCUUCGCCGUCCUUCAUUUUGAUAGCCCGACUUUCUUCUCCAUCGGGUCUAUUGUAAUGAACUUAUACUUUUAUAUUUGAAUAAUUUAAAAUUUUAUCUUUCCGCAGUAGUAUUUUUGAUAUGUUAUGUUUAACCUGGUUUAUAACAAAAGGUGAAAAUGUUAUCAAUGACCAGUUAGAGAUUUGUGUAUGACAUGUCAGAGAGGAUCAAUAUUAUGUUUUCAUAUGCACUUUAUUGAAUAUCGAUUAAUAAAACUUAUUACAGGACUUUAGUGGUUUUAAA